rnacentral:tRNA from 6 species
GCAGUACUGGUGUAAUGGUAGCGCCUUAGCCUUCCAAGCUAAUGGUAGGGGUUCGAUUCCCCUGUACUGCU